rnacentral:lncRNA from 1 species
GAUAUGUUUACAAGUGUACAAAUAAGAGCUGUUGAUGAUGUUUUUAGAUUUGAACAUGAUACGUAGUCUUAAUAUAUAAAUGGAGACUGGCUAUCCACUGAACAUUUCCUCCAGACACCUUUCCACUCUGUUCAUCUGAUAUGUGUGAUUACCUAAGAGUCAAGGAGGACCAUUCAGAAGGUAGGAUACAGCACAUGGAAACAGUAUGGCCUAGCAGAUAUAGAGAGGCAACAUGGCAUAAUGAAUGGAAAGCUGGCCUUAAAACCAGGAUGAUCUGGAUUGGUAUCUUUCCUCUGACACAUUCUGGAUAUAGGACCUUUCCUACAUUAAUCACUUGACUUCUUGACAUUCUAGACAACCAUCUAAAACAGAGCUGUUGAAGAAAGAACAUUGCUUUGGAAGUCACACAAGGUAAGUCUGAACCUAAAUUCUGAUCCUUACAAAUGGUGUUAACUUAGACAAGUUAUCUCACCUUUGCUGUGAGUAACCUCCUCUGUAACAAUGACUAUGCUGGGCCAGAUGGCUUAUUAGUUUUUCUUUUCUUUUUUCAGUUCCAGAUUCAUGAUAGCAAGCUCCAUCCAAAAAAAAAAAAAAGAAAAGAAAGAAAGUCUAGACUUAUCUAUGAACCAAUCAAUCAUACUUAGGAAGUUUAUCACUUGACAUAAGCCACAUAGUUACUAUUUAUCAAAAGCAGGAUCUGAACCUGGAUCUUCUCAGUUCUAGGUCCUGAAAUCUUUACACUGAGAAAGGUCAGGCUGAUCCUCUUUUCCAUAAUCACAUAGAAUCAUAAAACUAAGAAGAGUUUGGAAGGAAACUCAGAGAUCAUCUCAUCCUGCCUCAACCCCUCAUUUUACAAUAGAGGAAACUGAGAUCUAGGCUUCCAUCAAAUUCACACUGACUUCUGCCUACCUCAGUUUCCUCAUCUGAAAAUGGGGAUAGUAAUAGCACCUACCUCUUCAGAUUGUUAUGGGAAUGGACUAACAUUUGUAAAGUGCUUUGCAAAGGGUAAUGGACUCUACAAAUAUUAGCUGUGAUGAUAAUGAUGAUGACAAUGAUUAUUAGCUGUGAAACCCCCGCAUUUUUUCUGCAUGUGCAAAAAACAUGGUAGCUAUUGAAUAUUUCCUUUAGGCCCAUAAUAGAACGUACCAUGUUCC